UUUUCAGGGAUUAGAAGUAUAUGAAAAUAUAGGAAUGCAUCAAUAUAUCUCAUCCGAGAUAAGAAGGACAAUUCUUGAGAAAAAUGAUUGAAAAUUUGAAAAACAAAUGUUAGUCAUGCAUGCUUGCAUAGUUACCAUAGAUGGAUGAAUGCACGAUGCAUAUUUUUUUUAUUAGUUAUCACUUAGACGUUAAUAGUUUGUAAACAUUUUGCAUAUACCAAACUCAAAGCCUAUUUGAAUAUUGUAAAUGGUAUAAUUGACUCAACCAAUAUCAUAACACCAAUAACUAUAUUAGCAUACAUAUGUAUUCACCCGCAAAAAAAAGAGCAUACAUAUGUAUUGGCUGAGCAAGUAACAAAAGAAUUUAGUCCACAUAUGUAUGUUUAUGCACAAAAAUCUGGAAAAGUUGUUGUCAUGACAGGCAUAACAAUAGGAGUUCUGUACCAACAUGGGUGUGUACUAACAUUCAGAAUGCGUGGCAAAAUGAAUAGCUACAACACUUAGGCCACAAAAUUCACUCAAACUAAAUAAAGCUACUUUUGAGAACACUAAAGUUAUUUUGAGCUCCUCAAUUGAUCUCUCCAAUAGCUUGACUUCUUCAUCCUUCUCCUUUCAUCUGCUAUUUGUAAGAGUACAAAAGAAGGGUUCUAAAAGAAGAAAAACGGAAGCAUUAUUAAGAGCAGAAAACAUUAAUCCAAUAGCAUGAACACCUGGCUGGCGUCCGUAGCAAUUACUUCCCUUUGUUUUGCCACUGGCAAAGCAUCUCCAGCUUUUCUCUCAGAGAGGCACCUGGGAGUCACAUUAUUGCUUCUCUUCUGAGAGCUUGGAGAAGUUAUUCUGCAAAUUUUGAAGCAAAUCGUUCCUUUCAUCGUCAAGUAAAUUUCUCAGCUCAAUCAACACUUCCUCCAAUAUUGGAGUGGCAUUUCUAUUAUGGGCUAACUCGUAUUUCACAGAGCAAUCAAUCCGUUCAAUAUGGCUGAGCUGAGGUCGCAAAUCAGUGUUCACUAUAGAAACUGCAUUUGGUUUGCAAACUACACUUGCUGGCUGCUCCUCCAACACCAAAAUCUUUUUUUACUCUUCAUAAUUUAAGAAUGUGCAUGAUUAAUCAAUUUAAACUCACUGGAUUGGAUGGAUGGAGUGUCUAAAUAGUAGGAUUAAACAAUUGGUCCUUUACUGACUGAUUAAUUAGUGACCUAAACAUUUUUCUGAAUCUUUGCUUUAAUGGAUGUGCAUGAUUAAUCAGUUAACACUACAGUGGGGGAGGACAUCCUGAUGGAGCGGCGCAACCUACUUGACCAGCAAGCCCCACGCCUUCAAAUUAUUUUAGGAGAUCUAACAACAUUAAAUAAGAAGCAUCAUCUCAUUAAAGUCCUCUUUAUUUAUUUUAUCGGAGGCUCGGAAGAACUUAGUCUCUUCAAAAUAAGAAGCAUCAUCCAUGGUCGAUUUCUGGACCAAAAUAACUACAUGCAUAAACGGACUCUCAUGCCAAGUUGCAAACAGAUCAGGGAAAACACCCACAAACUUGAAUAAAACGUUGUGAUUUUUCAGCAAAAGUAAUGUUAUGUGAUCGAAAUGAAACAACUGUUGUUCAGAUAUAUCAGUUUCGAUUGAAUCUACUAUGGCAUUGACAGAAGCAGUAGACAUCCAGCCAUAAACAUAUCACUGGCCAUAGGUUUUAUUUUUAUUUUUUGGCAUGCACUGGCUAUAGGUAGAUAACAUAAGAGCUAGGAUCCAACAGUUAGGCAGAACAAGUAAGACACCAAGUCGCAUAAUCAAAAUAUGCCCAUUUGCACACAUGUAAAUAGUUUGAACGUACUGAAACACAAAGAAAGUAGAUAGUAGAUUAUAUUGUCCUAAGUUGAUCUUGCUUGAUAGCAUUAUCUAGAGAAUAUCAAAAGGAAAAACAUAACUAACCUUGACCUGUUUGUAGCGAUCCAGAUUUUACACACUCUGGUCGUUUCAUCUGAAAUCACAUGAAAAAGUGUUGCUUUUCUUUGGCCGCUGAAAGGGAAAGUACCAAUCUCCACUUCGAUCCUCCCUCUGUAAUAUUAUAAGAAAAGCAGUCAACAGAGCAUCGCCCUCCCACCAUGCCUGUUCUGAUAGACACACAAAAGAAUACACAAAGCAUCUUCCAUCAGUUUUUAUAACUUGCUAGAAAUACAUGCAAACAUCAUCCAACAAAUGAACGGCUUGUGCAAUUUGUUUGCAAGCAAAUAGAACGAAUUAUUGCAAACCUGAACAUAAUUCUAUUGUCUAUGCAUCUUUUCUCUCAGCUCUACAAAAAAAUUCGUCUAGCAAUUUCUAAAAAGAAUUUGAAUGAAGCUACUGUACGUUUGUAGACAGCCACACAACAAAUUGAAGGUCACGGGAGCAACAAAGCAUCAGGGAUCCUCCUGCGGUACACACGGUCCUCAACGAUAGAGUUGCCUGGUUAGUGGGCUGCCGACAGAGCAUCGACCAGAGCGUGAAUAAUCAACGGAGUUUGUAAUCGUAGCCCUACACACGAAAUUCCAUGAGCAUGGAUAAACUGAUCUUGUGAUUUGGUAGAAGCAGCAAAUUAUAGUACCGGCUGAAUGAACAGCUUGUGCCAUUUAUAGAUAAACUGAAACCCUCACGUAGUCAGCCAGUACUAUAAUAUGGUAGUAGCAACAGGCAGCUCACCAUCUGGAACCCAGCCGCGAAGGUACCACCGGUCGCCGCUAUACCGGGGCUCGUUCUGGAACUCCUUCGGCGCACUUCUGGAGGAACCUCGCCAGCUUCUCCGGCAGCGUCACCGGUGGCAGCUCCCCUCUAGUCGCCGGAUCCCUUUGUAAAACGGACUCGGUUCGAUCAGAGAGGAGGAAGCUAGGGACGUGGUGCGGUGCGGGUAGCAGAGAAUUAGUGCCGCCUCUUCCAUCCUCAGCCGCCAGCUCGCCGACCGCCCUCUCCAUCCCCGGCCUCGAUCUUGCCGGCACCCGCCCACUCCAUCCCCGUCCACGAUCCCGCCGGCGCCACCCUCCAAUCCCCUUACUCGAGCCCGCUCGUCUCGAGCGCAACACGCCACGCCAUGCCUCCCGCGAGGUCGCCGACGCGCAGAUCGGCCCUCUCGAGCUCCUGGAGUCGGACGCCAGCGCCGCACCCUCCCAUCCUCUGCCUCCCACGAGGUCGCGACCAGUAGGUGGAGGGGAGCGGUGAACGGCGAAGAAAGCCGCGAGAUGGGAUUGGGAGGCAGGAGAAGGCCGGCGGCGCGUGGUGAGGGGCGGAGCGGGGCAGGAGGCGGCCGGCGGCGCGAGGGGCGUAGCAGGAGGUGGGCGGGGCGGGGCGGAGCGGAGCGCCGCGAGGUAAAGCGCCGCGAGGACGGGGAGUCUGGAUAAGAUGAAACAGAUGAAUCGCGGGUUGAAUACAUACAGAUGUAGGUUUUUUUCUUAAACGAAACGUUUUUUCAAUAUCACGGGCACCCGAAUUAGUACCACCUCGGAUAUAUGUUUUAAAUUCGAACUGAAAGCGUAAAUUCACGGGAAGAAGCGUAUUGUGACGGUGAACCUGACAAAGUCAAUCCGUGCUUUAUUAUUAGGGAAAGAUUAGGGAAAGAAAGACUAGCAAAAAUGCCCGUGCGUUGAAAUGGGAGAAAAAGUACGCAUGCCCCUAUCUCAAUAAGCAUGUCUCAAGAUCUCCACAUGUCCAUGUCCUUUUUUUCAACAUGACGCCCUUCCGUGUCACCAUCUAUCCUCUUUCCCACCGUCAUUGUCACUGUCGUAGUGCCCGAGACUACUUCUAUACUUUGAUACGAAGCAAAGCAAACACUGCUAGAAAUGAGUAGCGCGUGUUUAUUAACAUAACUUCCUAUCAUUAAUAAUAAAUAGCACAUAGAUAAUUAAUAGUACAUACAAUCAAUUUUUGCGACCUUUUAAUGUAACUAAAUGUUUUAGCUAGCUAACAAAAUCACUCUGAGAUUUUUUUUUGUGGGGAAAAAUCACUUUGAGAUUAUGAAGAAAAUUAAUGAUUUUCCUCAAUAAAGAAUCAAACCAUUACAUGAGCAAUCAAUUGGAUUUAAAGAAUUGGUCGCUCACAAACAUUAAAACUUUUUUUUGCGGGGUCACAAAUUUUAAAACCAUUACACGAUGGAGUUUCCAGACUUGCACUAACUUUUCUUCUCAAGCUAUAGUCAUGCUCAAACAUAGGGCAUACGAAAGUGUACAGAUUGUGGAUCUAAGAAAAUUGUGUGUACUCACAUUUUACCUCUUUAAUAGUUGUGAAAAUAACCAUAUUAUUUAAUUUCAUCCACUGUACAAUUUUUGAUUUGUUUAUUAAUGAAACUGCAUCUGUUAAUUAUUUACUUUAACAACCAUGCAUUAAGUUUUAAUGUUUGUGAGCGGCCAAUUUUUAACACUUCCGUAAACAAUUUUUAACUCGAUGAAAAAAAAUCGACAAAAAAUGCAUCCUCUUUGACAUGUACUCCUAGAUGAUUAGGACUCCAGUCGGCUAAAAAAGAGUUCACGUCUCAUUUCUUUUCCCCACUUUAAACUUGUUAGAAAAAUAGAAAAAAUAUGAUAGAAAAGAUCCAAUUCGCUGCCUACUUUUUUUUUCUGUUCGCAGGACUUCGUUCUAGCGGUAGAAACAUCAGCGCCAUGGCGCGUCUACAUUAAAUUCUCCUCUUUCCACCUUUAUUAUGUAGUGCACAUGCACAGCGUGUAUUAAGAAUCUCUCUUAAGGCUAGUCAUAGUGGGAGUAACUUAACUAGUAAUAUAGCGCAUUUCAAUAAUUUUUUGCUUAUGUGGCAAGUAUUUAAUGUGCGGUGGUAACAUAAUAUGUUACUCUAACAUAGCGCUUCCCAAGACAAGAUGAGUACAAGCUAAUAAAUAAAGCCAUCUAUGACACUACUAUCAUGUUACUUUGCAUUAUGAAGAUAGUAACUUAGACUAGUGUCAUGCAUAUGACACUAGUCUAAGUUACUCCCCACUAUGACCAGCCUUAAUUUCCCCUGUUUAAUUGCCCACCAUAUUAGGAAUCCUUUUCUUAGGAAGGAAUCUCUUAAUUACCCAUUUAAUUGCCCAUCAUAUUUCCCAAGCAUGCAUUAGGAAUCCCCUUCCUUAAUUAUCCCACAAUAUUACUGAUUUCUUUUUGUCCCAUUCGAUUGCCCAUAAUAUUUCUGCGGUACAUAGGGGGUGUUUGGUUCCAGAGACUUUUUUGCGUUGGGACUAAAAAAAAGUCCCUAAAAGUCCCUAGCAAACUAAAUAGGGGGGACUUUUUGCUAAAAGUCCUUAGAAGCACCUCCUUAAGAGUCUUUUUCAAAAAGUCCUAGGGACUAGAAAAAGUCUAGGACUAGAGAACCAAACACCACCAUAAUCCUUCCUUUCCUUUUCUUUCGAGAAGCCUUACUUCCUUCCUUUGUGGGCACCAACUACGAAUCUUCCUAUCAUCAAUUUCCAAGCCGGCUUAUUAAGGUGAUUGAUGAUAGAUAAUUUGAACAUGUAUAUAAAUUGGUGGUUGUGCUUUUGAAAGGGCGAGGUGGCACUAUUUGCUAACAAAACAACAGCUAUCAUUUAACGUAGGUUGGCCUAGUUCAGGUGGCUGGUGUCGAGCGUACGGUUAGAAAGUUGCGAGUUCGAUUCCUCACGCGCACGCUUGUGUAUUUUUUCCCUUCUCGCGUUGCAGGCCAUUUUUUUCCUUCUCGUGUUGCACUGAAGCUGGGCCAACGGCCCAGCCUGCAGGCCCAAGUCGGUAGGAGCACAUCUAAGGUGAUGGUUUUGAUGCAUGGGCAGUACCACCUCGUAAAAGCGUAUUACGACUGGGCGGAAGCGUAUUGUGACGGUGAACCCACGGAGUCAAUCCAUACUUUAUUAUUAGCGAAAGAUUAGGGAGAGAUUACUUUUAGUUUGGUCUUAGGUUUAGUUUAGUUUUAGGUUUAUGUUUAGUCAUGAAAAAAACUAAGAAUAAUUAGAAGAAGAGGAGGAGAAGAAGAAUAGCUAGGUUUAGGUGUAGUUUUUUCCUGUUUUGUUUUAGGUUAAUUAGUGCUAGGUUUAAGAAGAGGAAAAAGGAGAAGAAGAAGAAGAAGAGGAGGAGGAGGAGAAGGAGAAGAAAGAAGAAGAAGAAGAAGAAGAAGAAGAAGAAGAAGAAGAAGAAGAAAGAGAAGAGGAGGAGGAGGAGGAGGAGAAGAAAGCUAGAGGAGAGGAGGAGAAGAAGAAGACCACCGACACCCUGACCCCGACCGCAACCACCGAUACCCCGACACCUGACACCCCGACCACCGACACCCCGACCGCGACCCCGACCACCNNNNNNNNNNNNNNNNNNNNNNNNNNNNNNNNNNNNNNNNNNNNNNNNNNNNNNNNNNNNNNNNNNNNNNNNNNNNNNNNNNNNNNNNNNNNNNNNNNNNNNNNNNNNNNNNNNNNNNNNNNNNNNNNNNNNNNNNNNNNNNNNNNNNNNNNNNNNNNNNNNNNNNNNNNNNNNNNNNNNNNNNNNNNNNNNNNNNNNNNNNNNNNNNNNNNNNNNNNNNNNNNNNNNNNNNNNNNNNNNNNNNNNNNNNNNNNNNNNNNNNNNNNNNNNNNNNNNNNNNNNNNNNNNNNNNNNNNNNNNNNNNNNNNNNNNNNNNNNNNNNNNNNNNNNNNNNNNNNNNNNNNNNNNNNNNNNNNNNNNNNNNNNNNNNNNNNNNNNNNNNNNNNNNNNNNNNNNNNNNNNNNNNNNNNNNNNNNNNNNNNNNNNNNNNNNNNNNNNNNNNNNNNNNNNNNNNNNNNNNNNNNNNNNNNNNNNNNAUGCAUUUAAUGAUCCCGGAGCAUAUAUAGACGAUUCAGAGUAAUAUUAGUAAUGUGAGCUUUAAUUUUUUAUUAUGUUCAUGAUGAUGAAACACUUAAAUUAUAUACAUAUUAUUCAUGUCAGGUAUCCAAAUUUUUUAUGUUGUACUAAUUUCGUUUACUUUUUGUCAUUGCAGGUGUUGACAGGAUGGUGGGCAAGGGUCCAGAGCGCCCCGAGCCUCCUGCGAGCGCUACUGGGAGGGGUGGUUCCGUUAUUCCAGCCCAGCCCCUCCGGAGAGCGCUGCUAGACAGUAUGCAGACAGCUGCGGAGGGCGCUUCUUCUUCGGCUGGGAGAGGUCGGGGGAGGACGAAGAAGGCUGCUAGAGGUGGAUGUGGCAGCGGGAGAUGUAGGAAGGCUGCUACGCCUUCCUCGCCGCCACCCUCAGCUGAUUCACCCGACCACGUGGACCCGUCUUGGACUCCGGUCCAUGACCCUCCGGUCGCCGAUCCUUUGCCCCACCACACUCGGGUCGCCGAUCCUUCGCCCCACGUGAGUCCAGUCCCAGAGUCUUCGUCCCAGAAGACUCCGGGCCCGGAGUCUUCAUCCCAGAAGACUCCGAUCCCGGAGUCUUCUUCCCACGAGACUCCGGAGGCUAGUGGCGAGAUGGUCGCCGGUGUCUUGUGCGAGACGGUGGCCGACAUGGUGUUCCAUCGGUUUUGGGUAAUUUCUCCUUUACAGAAUUAAAAGUCAACACUACCUAGUGAUUGUACUAAUCAGUGUUGUCUUGUUUGAUUGCAGACCUUCUACAGGGUUUCAGAGGGAGAGCAGGAGGCCGCUUCUAUGGUUGUCGAAACCGAGUGCAAGCGCCUACUUCAGAACUUACGGCACGAGGCUCGGGUGCAGGCCGUUCGAGACUACUACGCCUCGAAGGGUAUUAGGAGGGCCAAGAAGAAGUGUCGCGACAAGUUUCUGAGUAAGGAGAAGUACAUGCAGGUAAUUACCUAUUCUUAAGGCCUUGAACUUAGUUUUCUUGAUUUGAUUCGUAGGCGUAGCGCUGAAAUUUCUCUUGACUAACUUAGGUGCCCUCGAGAUGGUGUGUGGAUAAGAUGGACUGUUGGGAGGCGUUGGUGGAUGCGUGGUGCUCUCCCGAAUGGCUAGUCGAACACCAAAGGGCCAAGGAUAAGCGCGACCAAAUAGAAGGUGUGCCACACCAUCAAGGGAGCUCCAACCUGUUUGAGUACGAGGAUAACUGGGUAUGUGGUUUGGUACAUGAUUCAUGCAAUUUCAUUCUUCAUGCUAGCAUUUAUCCCUUUCAAAAUGACUUAAUAUGCUUAGUUAGUUAAAAAAUGGCAUAACUACCUUGGAUAGUUCAUUUAUGACAUAUUUAGCUCCAAAAUGACAUAAUAACCUUAGAUAGCUCUAUAAAAUGACUUAAUAUGCUUUAGUUAGUUAAAAAAUGGCAUAACUACCUUCGAUAGCUCAAUAACGACCUAAACUAAUCUUCAUAUUUAUUGUAUAUCGGCCUAGGAAUCCGCAUAUAGCUAGGCUCUUGCAUGAGAGCCCACUAUUCUUUUUCACUUGCUCUAAGAUGACUUAUACACCUAGACGGAGGGAGUAGUCUCAAGUCAUUGGAUGCAUACGCACCCCACAUCUCGUAUUGGGUGAUUUCUUUUUUCAUGGCAAAAAACAGGGAACGAGGUGGGUAGUUAAUGCACCGCGCCUAAAAGUUUUGGGAUUACUAUUUGGUUUUCGUAACGUGACUAAUGCAUCAGUACAGAGGGAGUACAAUAGUAGUCUUUGAUUGCAAUUUUUUGUUGGUAGAUUACAAAGCUGAGCGCUCGGUGAGUACAAUAGUAGUCUGAUUGAUGAGACUUCAGAUUUGAGCCAUCUACCGGAAGGAAUAAAACAAUACACCAUGUAUUUAUUUACAGAGGGGGUAGUACAUUUUUUGUGACAUGCAUUACUAGAUAUUGCUAGUCAAAUACUAAAUCCAGAUGGACGUGGUAGUACUACUAAAUCCAGAUGGUGGUGCUAGUACUAGUAGUAGUACUACCAAUGUAGUAGUACUGUACUACCCGUUGGUCAAAUUAUUACGUGCUGCUCCUCACAGUGAAGUGACAAGACCCUGCGCCGGAGAUGACACCUGAGUAUAGGCGCCGUGUUCGGCAUACCAUAGUCAGCCUCACCCUCUGUAGUCACUAUCAUCAUGGCUGUAGAGCUAGCCUGCUUACAACUAGCCGUGUUUGACAUAAUUUCCCGUGCGUAGAUGCCCGUGCGUUGCACGGAACACCAAGAUUGGGGGUGGACGUCGCCGGCAGCGGCCAUCGCGCCAGAUUUUUCCAUGGCCUUCUAGAUGUGGUGGGGAGGAGAUAAGGCUGAUUGUGAGAGACAAGGAGUUGUUUGUAUAUAGGGAACAAGUGCGGGCAUCUUUUUGCAAAAUUGGAGAAGUUUGGUUUGUAUGCGUCAGAUCUAGAUCCGACGGCUAUUGGUGAAAGAUGGCAGGCACAACAUCAUCACCAACUCAGGACCUAUUUGAUUCGCAGGAUUUUGAAAACACAGGAAUAGGACACAACAAUAUUACAAGUUUCAAACUGAUAUUACAAAUGUUAGGAGUAAUGCUGCACUUACAAAGAGGGAAUUACUAGGACGUAAGAACUUUCGUUACUUUAGGUGGAUGCAGCAUUAUAGUACAAACUAAAAUCCACCGCCCUGACAAGUCACUAAUGGGCAAAUAAAUUUUUGAGUCUCUGGCCACUUGAUGUUUCAAAAAAAAAUCAGCUUCUGCGGAGGCUUUGUUAUUUAGGCUUAGACGCUUGCGGUGAUCAACACGCCAUUCAUUGUUGCGCUAGAGAACGCCAAACCUCAUUACCUUGAGCACACUUGCCUCCAGAACAAAGAACCCGGACAAUUUAAUCUCAGAUGUGUUGCCUCGGUAGUCGAUCAAAUCAAUUUCUGUAAGAUGGAGAUCAAGGCAUUCGAUGAGAUUGUUAUAGUGCAACACAUUUUCACUUUCGGGUCUUUUUUUUAUCUGCAAAAGAAGAGAACAUAUUAGAGCAGCUGGCUGUAUAAGAUUGCCGUGUCAGCAAGAGGUACCAAUAUCAUUCGCUCAUAUGAUAGGGUUGGCUGGCUAGUGAUAUUUUUUCACUCUCUCUCUCAUUUUCUCUUUCCUCUCAUUUACCUAGGAGCACGUGAAGAGCUUGGGCAUUUGUUGCCUUCCACUAUGUGGCCGAUGCCAUAUUUCUCAAAAGUAUGCCACAUAAUACGUAUCGAUGUCAAAUCAAAAGAUUUUGCCACCGCUCUCGUGAUGUGAGAGAGUUGGCACCGCUGUGCACACAGACCCACAUGUAUAAACAAAUCAAUCAAACCAACUACACCAGCCUCUCACUCUCCCAAACAAGUGUUUUUUAUUGCCUCAGUCCUCUCUCUCGCCCACGCAAGUGUUUUUUCAUUGCGUGAGUUAAUUUGGCACCAGAGCAAAGUAGGUGAUCCAGAUUGGGGCACCAGGUGAGAAAUGGAGGGGCAUCGAUGCCAAAUGCAUCACAAGUGAAUUUGGCACGUGUUUUGGCCUACAUAGUGGAGGGCCGUUAUAGCCCACUUUUGUACUACCUCGUAUUUAGUGUAAAAUUUUGACCAUAGAUUUACCUAAGUAAAUGCCAAUGCAUGUCACCAAAAAUUAUACCAUUUGAAAUUAUGUUCAAAUACGAAUCCAACGAUAUAAUUUUUUAGUGACAUGCAUUAACAUUUUGUCAGUUAAAUCUAUGGUCAAAUUUUGAUACUACAAAAUAGGAAGAGUAAACCAGGACGGAGGUAGUACUUGCUCUUAGGGUAACCAUAGAGUUACUAGUCUAAGUUACUUUCCACUAUGACUAUCCUAGGCUACUAUAGUAGUACAACAAAAAAACAAUGCAGGUGAUCACAUGAGAAAAAAAAUACUAAAAACAUUUCUUUCGGUGCAGUGCGUAGAUGCAGUUUUGAACACUACACUUGUCAUCGUAAUUUGGGAAAAUUACAAAAAAAAUUGAGCUACAUUGUGAUUACCGUUUACUAAUAGGAAAGAAGUUUCACCUCGAUGAGUAGCUUCUCCGUGCACGGAAAGCAUGUAAGGAAUCCAACAACUUGAUCCAGAUUGGGGCCGAUAGAUUUUAUUGCCAAGAUCUUCACUGUGCGCAUAGACUGGGUCAUGCUUGUGGGAAUCAUUUUCUGGAAGACGGUCGUAAAUACAUCAAGAAGAAAUUUAAAAAUGUGAAUUUCAAGAAGAUGGAGAAGAAGAUGAGUGUUGUACCUGAACGAUUACGGAUCCAAUAAAGAGUCCGAAGAAUUUGGCAGACGAGUACACCAACACUGUCAAUUUCGGCGCGUCAAUGACCCUGAUUUUUGUUGGACCUUCUAGAUCAGAUACAAGCAAUCUCUCAAGGAAAGGUGCAUUCUCAAUGACCAUAAUGUGGAACAGCUGGAGUGAUCUCUUCCCAAUUGAUGUCUUCUUGCGGGGCCAACAAGACACAUAAAUCCAUCGGAGAUUCGUCGAGGCGAUGUGGAGGCUAAUGAACCCGUGGAUCUGCUGAAGACGAAGGUAUUCGAGCGCUGUACAGUUGCGGAGCAGGUGCUCCAUAGCCUGCUUCGAGAUGCCAACGUCAAAGAGGUCGAGCUGCUUGAGUUGAGGGAGAAGAAGGGCGGGCACGGCAUUAAUCUGGGGAAGAUAGCAGGAGCUGAAGCUGGCGCGGCGCAGCAUUGGCGUGAGGCGGAGCGCGGACGGCGGUAGAGAGCGACAUCGUCCAGCUUCAAAGCUGAGCUCCUCGAGCUGAUCUAGGGCGGGGGAUAAGAACCACUCGUCGAACUUGGCUUGGACAUUGCAGUUGGUACUGAACAUGCGGAUGUCAAGGCGUCUGGCUGGCCCAGGGUGCGAUGAAAGGAUCUUGGAGACAACGACCAUGUGUUUGCAAUCCCCGUCACAGAGGCAGCUGUCGACGGUGAGGUUGAGGGGGACGCGGCGUCAGAGGGGGCGCCACCGCUGGGAGAGCAGGGCGGUCCGCACUGUAGAUUUGGUGGGGAGGAGGCCGAUGAUGACGAGCAGCAUGUCAUCGGGGAGGCUGCUGAUGAAGUCCAGGCUCGCCGGAUGCAGUUUUGGCUUGAGCCGCCUCCGCUUGUUGGCUGCCUCACCGUCCAUCUCAACCGGCGGCGACGCCGGUGUACACGUGUGGUGGUGUGUGUUGUGUGCUGGCCUGCUGGGUGUGCGCGAGUGCGUCCUUCUGUGCAUGCCACCGCGCAAUGGUGAAUUGUGCGCGAGUGCGUCCUUCACGCGGAAGAAGUGUGUCCUCAAUGCGCCCUCAAUUUACUAGCGUGCGGGGUGCUACCCCGAGUGGUUUCAACUUUGUUUACUUCACCGCGUGUCAGAUGGGCCUCUAGUUUACUUAUUUUCACCCACUGCCACAUGGGCCAGCACACGAAGAUAGAGAACACGAGCUGACAAGGCAGCAUGUGGACUGGUUGACCGGUCAACUAAACAAUAUACUUAGCUAUACGCUGACAUAUUGAGCGUAUAAUCCGUCGGUAUAGAGAGUUCGAGUGAGAGGGGAGGCCCGUGAGAGAUAGCAGAGAGAGAGAAAGAGCUACUCCCUCCGUUCAAUAAUGUAGUGCCAACAUUUUUUUUAAAGUCAAACUUUUGAAACUUUGACCAAGUUUAUAAAGAAAUUACUUAUAUCUACAAUACCAAAGAUAAAUGAUAGUAUGAAGUAAGUACAUGUUGUGAUGAAUCUAAUGAUCGUUCCAGAUGUAAAUGUUUUUCUCCACAUAUACCUGGUCUAACUUUUCUGAGGUUUGAAUUUUCAAAACAUCCAUAUGCUUAUGGACGUGAGAGAGUACCUAACUAGAGAGAGUGUGUGUGAAAUAGAAAGAGUGACUGAAAAAAGUGUGUGUGCGUGUGUGAAAGAGACAUGGACAACACACGAUAAAAGUAGAGAAAAAGCGUGUGUGUCUUAUGCAAACAUAUCAAACAUGCAUCUUUGACAGCGGAAGCAAGGUGAGGAGAUAGUGUGUGGUUGUUUUCAACCGAGAGAGAAAGACCCCUAGCACGUGGCCAAGAGGGGUCUGACAAACAAGGGAGAGAGGUUGAGAGAGACGUACGAAGAAAAUGCAGUCAUGUGGAGGAGAGAGUGUAUGUUUGUCAUAGAGAGAUCCCCUGGAGAUCGUGAUGGGACUACAUGGGUGGGAGAUCGAGUGACAAGGUGUGUGCGUGAUAGAAGAUACCCCGAGAGAUAUCGAGAUAGACGUAUGGAUGGAAGCACACAAUACAUGUGUUCCUGAUGGCUAGUGAGAGAUAAUCAUACUUAGGGGGGAGUGCGUGCGCCUAUGACGGAGUGAGGGAUUAUGGUACUUAGGGGGGUGCGUGUCACAUAAAGAGAGAACAAGGGCGGAUAGUGUUAGAUGGGUCUAUGUAGCACGAGCGAGACAUGUGUAUGUGUGAACCAGGGAGAUAUAAAGUUUGAGAGAGAUAGAGGAGCCCUGAUAAGGCUGAGUGGUGCGUCAGAUAGCUGAGAGGGGGAAAGCGAUAUUCCAUCCGCUCGAUAAUGCAGUGCAUGUAAAUUUUUUAGAAGUCGAACUUUGGAAACUUUGACCACGUUUACACAAAUGUUAUUUAUAUCUACAAUACCAAAGAUACUGUUGGAAAUAUGCCCUAGAGGCAAUAAUAAAGUGGUUAUUAUUAUAUUUCCUUGUUCAUGAUAAUUGUCUAUUGUUCAUGCUAUAAUUGUGUUAUCCGGAAAUCGUAAUACAUGUGUGAAUAUAUAGACCACAACAUGUCCCUAGUGAGCCUCUAGUUGACUAGCUCGUUGAUCAAAAGAUGGUUACAGUUUACUGACCAUGGACAUUGGAUGUCGUUGAUAAUGGGAUCACAUCAUUAGGAGAAUGAUGUGAUGGACAAGACCCAAUCCUGAGCAUAGCACAAGAUCGUGUAGUUCGUCUGCUAAAGCUUUUCUAAUGUCAAGUAUCAUUUCCUUAGACCAUGAGAUUGUGCAACUCCCGGAUACCGUAGGAAUGAUUUGGGUGUGCCAAACGUCACAACGUAACUGCGUGGCUAUAAAGGUGCGCUACGGGUAUCUCCGAAAGUGUCUGUUGGGUUGGCAUGAAUCGAGACUGGGAUUUGUCACUCCGUGUGACGGAGAGGUAUCUCUGGGCCCACUCGGUAGGACAUCAUCAUAAUGAGCUCAAUGGGACCAAGGAGUUUAUCACGGGAUGAUGUGUUAUGGAACGAGUAAAAGAGACUUGCCGGUAACAAGAUUGAACAAGGUAUAGGGAUACCGACGAUCGAAUCUCGGGCAAGUAUCAUACCGAUAGACAAAGGGAACUGUAUACGGGAUUGAUUGAAUCCUCGACAUUGUAGUUCAUCUGAUGAGAUCAUCGUGGAACACGUGGGAGCCAACAUGGGUAUCCAGAUCCCGCUGUUGGUUAUUGGCCGGAGAGAUGUCUCGGUCAUGUCUGCAUGGUUCCCGAACCCGUAGGGUCUACACACUUCAGGUUCGAUGACGCUAGGGUUAUAGGGAAAGUAUGUACGUGGUUACCGAAUGUUGUUCGGAGUCCCGGAUGAGAUCCCGGACGUCACGAGGAGUUCCGGAAUGGUCUGGAGGUGAAGAUUUAUAUAUGGGAAGUCGUCAUACGGUCACCGGAAGUAUUCGGGGGUUUGCCGGUAUUGUACCGGGACCACCGAAGGGGUUCCGGGGGUCCACCGGGAGGGUCCACCUGCCCCAGAGGGCUCUAUGGGCUGUAUGUGGAAGGGAACCAGCCCCUAAGUGGGCUGGGCACCAUCCCCCCCAGGGCCCAUGCGCCUAGGGUUGGGGGGGAACCCUAAAGGGGGCGCCCCCCUUGGCUUGGGGGGCAAGCCCCCUCCCCUUGGCCGCCGCCCCCCUCUAGAUCUCAUCUAGAGGGGCUGUCCCCCUUCCCCCUUCGCCCUAUAAAUAGAGGGGAGGAGGGAGGGAAGCAGCACCUCAUCCAAGGCGCAGCCCUCCCCCUCUCCAACACCCCCUCCUCAUUCGUAGCGCUUGGAGAAGCCCUGCUGGAGAACCAUGCUGCUCCAACACCACCACGCCGUCGUGCUGCUGCUGGAGUUGUCUUCCCCAACCUCUCUCUCCCCCUUGCUGGAUCAAGGCGCGGGAGACGUCACCGGGCUGCACGUGUGUUGAACGCGGAGGCGCCGUUGUUCGGCGAUUAGAUCGGAAUCGACCGUGAUCUGAAUCGCUGCGUGUACGACUCCACCAACCGUGUUAUUGUAACGCUUCUGCAUCGCUAUCUUUAAGGGUAUGAAGAUGCACUCCUCUCUCUCUCGUUUCUAGUCUCUCCAUAGAUUGAUCUUGGUGAUGCAUAGAAAUUUUUUAGUUUCUACAACGAUCCCCAAGAAUGGCAUCAUGAGCUAGGUCUAUGCGUAGUUUCUAUGCACGAGUAGAACACAAGUUGUUGUGGGCGUCGAUUUUGUCAAUUUACUUGCCGUUACUAGUCUUAUCUUGAUUCAGCGGCAUCGUGGGAUGAAGCGGCCCGGACCUACCUUACACGUACGCUUACGUGAGACAGGUUCCACCGACUGACAUGCACUAGUUGCAUAAGGUGGCUAGCGGGUGUCUGUCUCUCCCACUUUAGUCGGAUCGGAUUCGAUGAAAAGGGUCCUUAUGAAGGGUAAAUAGAAAUUGGCAUAUCACGUUGUGGUUUUGGUGUAGGUAAUAAACAUUCUUGCUAGAAACCUAUAGCAGCCACGUAAAAACUUGCAACAACAAUUAGAGAACGUCUAACUUGUUCUUGCAGCAUAUGCCGUGUGAUGUGAUAUGGCUGAAAGGAUGUGAUGAAUGAUAUAUGUGAUGUAUGAGAUUGAUCAUGUUCUUGUAAUAGGAAUCACGACUUGCAUGUCGAUGGGUAUGACAACCGGCAAGAGCCAUAGGAGUUGUCUUAAUUUAUUGUAUGACCUGCGUGUCAAUGAAAACGCCAUGUAAUUACUUUACUUUAUUGCUAACCGUUAGCCAUAGUAGUAGAAGUAACAGUUGGUGAGACAACUUCAUGAAGACAGGAUGAUGGAGAUCAUGAUGAUGGAGAUCAUGGUGUCAUGCCGGUGACGAUGAUGAUCAUGGCGCCCCGAAGAUGGAGAUCAAAAGGAGCAAAAUGAUAUUGGCCAUAUCAUGUCACUAUUUGAUUGCAUGUGAUGUUUAUCAUGUUUUUACAUCUUAUUUGCUUAGAACAACGGUAGCUUAAAUAAGAUGCUCUCUCACUGAAAUUUCAAGAAUUGUGUUCCCCCUAACUGUGCACCGUUGCUAAGGUCCGUUGUUCCGAAGCACCAGAUGAUGAUCGGGUGUGAUAGGUUCUAACGUUCGCAUACAACGGGUGUAAGCCAGAUUUACACACGCAAUACACUUAGGUUGACUUGACGAGCCUAGCAUGUACAGACAUGGCCUCGGAACACGGAAGACCGAAAGGUCGAACAUGAGUCGUAUAGAAGAUACGAUCAACAUGGAGAUGUUCACCGUUGAUGACUAGUCCGUCUCACGUGAUGAUCGGACACGGCCUAGUCGAUUCGGAUCAUGUAUCACUUAGAUGACUAGAGGGAUGUCUAUCUGAGUGGGGGUUCAUUAAAUAAUUUGAUUAGAUGAACUUGAUUAUCAUGAACUUAGUCUAAAAUUGUCUUUACAAAUCUAUCUUGUAGAUCCAAUGGCCCACGCUAAUGUAGCCCUCAACUUCAACGCGUUCCUAGAGAAAACCAAGCUGAAAGACGAUGGUAGCAACUACACGGACUGGGUCCGUAACCUGAGGAUUAUCCUCAUAGCUGCCAAGAAAGCAUAUGUCCUUGAAGCACCGCUAGGUGACGCACCUGUUUUCCCAGCAACUCAAGACGUUAUGAAUGCCUGGCAGUCGCGUAGUGAUGAUUACUCCCUGGUUCAGUGCGCCAUGCUUUACAGCUUAGAACCAGGGCUCCAAAAGCGUUUUGAGCAACACGGAGCAUAUGAGAUGUUCCAAGAGCUGAAAAUGGUUUUCCAAGCUCAUGCCCGAGUCGAGAGAUAUGAAGUCUCCGACAAGUUCUAUAGUUGUAAGAUGGAGGAGAAUAGUUCUAUCAGUGAGCACAUACUCAAAAUGUCUGGGUUGCACAACCGCUUGUCUCAGCUGGGAGUUAAUCUCCCGGAUGACGCGGUCGUUGACAGAAUCCUUCAGUCGCUUCCACCUAGCUACAAAAGCUUUGUGAUGAACUUCAAUAUGCAGGGGAUGGAAAAACCAUUCCUGAGGUAUAUUCAAUGUUGAAAUCAGCAGAGGUGGAGAUCAAAAAGGAACAUCAAGUGUUGAUGGUGAAUAAGACCACUAAGUUCAAGAAAGGCAAGGGUAAAAAGAACUUCAAGAAGGACGGCAAGGGAGUUGCCGCGCCCGGUAAGCAAGUUGCCGGGAAGAAGCCAAAGAAUGGACCCAAGCCUGAGACUGAGUGCUUUUACUGCAAGGGAAAUGGUCACAGGAAGCAGAACUGCCCCAAGUACUUAGCGGAUAAGAAGGCCGGCAAUACCAAAGGUAUAUGUGAUAUACAUGUUAUUGAUGUGUACCUUACCAGCGCUCGUAGUAGCUCCUGGGUAUUUGAUACCGGUGCGGUUGCUCAUAUUUGUAACUCUGCGGAAUAAGCGGAGACUGGUGAAGGACGAGGUGACGAUUGCUACGUCUUGAGCUUGCGUUGGUUUUCCUUGAAGAGGAAAGGGUGAUGCAGCAAUAGUAGCGUAAGUAUUUCCCUUAGUUUUUGAGAACCAAGGUAUCAAUCCAGUAGGAGGCUCCUCAAAAGUCCCACGCACCUACACAAACAAACAAGAACUUGCAACCAACACAAUAAAGGGGUUUUCAAUCCCUUCACAGCCACUUGCGAAAGUGAGAUCUGAUAGAGAUAAUAUGAUAAGAUAAAUAUAUUUUUGGUAUUUUAUAAUAUAGAUUGGAAAAGUAAAGAUGCAAAUAAAAGUAGAUGGCAAACUUAUAUGAUAAAAGAUAGACCCGGGGACCAUAGGUUUCACUAGUGGCUUCCCUCAAGAUAGCAUAAGUAUUACGGUGGGUGAACAAAUUACUGUCGAGCAAUUGAUAGAAAAGCGAAUAAUUAUGAGAUUAUCUAGGCAUGAUCAUGUAUAUAGGAAUCACGUCUGUGACAAGUAGACCGACUCCUGCCUGCAUCUACUACUAUUACUCCACACAUCGACCGCUAUCCAUCAUGCAUCUAGAGUAUUAAGUUCAUAAAGAACAGAGUAACGCAUUAAGAAAGAUGACAUGAUGUAGAGGGAUAAACUCAUGCAAUAUGAUAUAAACCCCAUCUUUUUAUCCUCGAUGGCAACAAUACAAUACGUGCCUUGCUGCCCCUGCUGUCACUGGGAAAGGACACCGCAAGAUUGAACCCAAAGCUAAGCAUUUCUCCCAUUGCAAGAAAGAUCAAUCUAGUAGGCCAAACCAAACUAAUAAUUCAAAGAGACUUGCAAAGAUAACUUAAUCACACAUAAAAGAAUUCAGAGGAGAUUCAAAUAUUUCUCAUAGAUAAACUUGAUCAUAAACUCACAAUUCAUCGGAUCUCGACAAACACACCGCAAAAAAGAGUUACAUCGAAUAGAUCUCCAAGAAGAUCGAGGAGAACUUUGUAUUGAGAUUCAAAGAGAGAGAAGAAGCCAUCUAGCUAAUAACUAUGGACCCGAAGGUCUGUGGUAAACUACUCACAACUCAUCGGAAGGGCUAUGGUGUUGAUGUAAAAGCCCUCCGUGAUCGAUUCCCCCUCUGGCGGAGCGCCGACGAAGGCUCCAAGAUGGGAUCUCACGGAUACAGAAGGUUACAGUGGUGAAAAUAGUUUUUCGUGGGCGCUUCUGAUGUUUUCGGGGUACAUGGGUAUAUAUAGGAGGAAGAAGUAGGUCGGUGGACGCCCGAGGGGCCCACGAGAUAGGGGGGCACGCCCAGUAGGGGGAGGGGGGCGCCCUCCACCCUCGUGGCCGCCUUGAUUGUUUCUUGACUUCCACUCCAA
rnacentral:lncRNA from 1 species